CUCAACCUGAACUCAGUCGUGAUUACCCGCUGAACUUAAGCAUAUCAUUUAGCGGAGGAAAAGAAACUAAAAAGGAUUCCCUUAGUAACGGCGAGUGAAACGGGAAGAGCCCAGCGCCGAAUCGAUCAGUCUUUGGCUGCUUCGAAAUGUGGCGUAUAGGUGUAAGUUUCCAGCAGUGUCGUAUGUCCGAAGUCCUUACGAUUGAGGCCAUAAACCAGAGAGGGUGCGAGCCCCGUUCUGGAUAGCGGCACUGUUGGUUCGCUUGCUCCUUGGAGUCGGGUUGCUUGAAAGUGCAGCCUAAAGUGGGUGAUAAACUUCAUCUAAGGCUAAAUAUCGACUCGAUUGCGAUAGCGAACAAGUACCGUGAGGGAAAGUUGCAAAGGACUUUGAAGAGAGAGUUCAAGAGAACGUGAAAUCGCUGGAGUGGAACCGGAGACAGUUGAUGUUGCUUGGAGACAAGCUUGGUGACUGGUCGCUUAGUUGUGAUCGUUGCCGGGUGUCGUUUCCUAUGCUACGCCGACGGCGUUGGCUGCUCGUUCUAGCCCGACAGUGUUGCCCAUCUCGCAAGAGAAGGUGUCUUGCUGGCGGUAGUGGGUUCGUGGCGGCUAGCGUUUAGUUACGCUAGUGUGUGUGACGUCGGUGUGAAAGUCGACGACGUUUCCGACCCGUCUUGAAACACGGAUUGCGGAGUGCUUGUCUACUGCGAGUCAAAGGGUGUUAAAACCUUGCGGCGAAAUGAAAGUAAAGGUCAGUCUCGAAUUGGCCGACGUGGGAUCUGUGUUCUUCGGAGUGCAGCGCACCACGGCCCUGUGCGUGUCACUUGUGACUGUGCAGAGGUUGAGCAGUUGGCAAACGACCCGAAAGAUGGUGAACUAUGCCUGAGCAGGAUGAAGCCAGAGGAAACUCUGGUGGAAGUCCGUAUCGGUUCUGACGUGCAAAUCGAUCGAUAGACUUGGGUAUAGGGGCGAAAGACUAAUCGAACCAUCUAGUAGCUGGUUCCUUCCGAAGUUUCCCUCAGGAUAGCUGGAUCUCAGGCAGUUAUAUUCGGUAAAGCUAAUGAUUAGAGGCCUUGGGGACGUAAUGUCCUCAACCUAUUCUCAAACUUUCAAUGGAUAUGAAGUUGCAGUUUCUUUAGUGAACUGUCAACGUGAAUGCGAGGUCCAAGUGGGCCAUUUUUGGUAAGCAGAACUGGCGCUGUGGGAUGAACCAAACGUGGAGUUAAGGUGCCUAACUUCUCGCUCAUGAGACCCCAUAAAAGGUGUUGGUUGAUAUUGACAGCAGGACGGUGGCCAUGGAAGUCGGUAUCCGCUAAGGAGUGUGUAACAACUCACCUGCCGAAUCAACUAGCCCUGAAAAUGGAUGGCGCUUAAGCGAGAGACCUAUACUCCGCCGUUGCGACAUGUGCGUUGUCUAGCGCCAGGUCGUAACGAGUAGGAAGGUCGUGGCGGUUGCGUUGAAGGCUAUGAGCGUAGGCUCGGCUGGAGCUUCCGUCAGUGCAGAUCGUAAUGGUAGUAGCAAAUAUUCAAGUUCGAUCCUUGAAGACUGAAGUGGAGAAGGGUUCCACGUGAACAGUAGUUGGAUGUGGGUCAGUCGAUCCUAAGGUACUGGCGAACGCCUUGUAUCAUCGGUGGCGAAAAGCUUGCUUUUAGUCCCCGCUUGUCGAAAGGGAAUAGGGUUAAUAUUCCCUAACUGAGAUGCAAAGAUUGUGUUCUUCGGAGCACAAGCGCGGUAACGCAUUCGAACUUGGUUAGUCGCUCAAAGACCGAGCUAGAGUUUUCUUCUCUAGUUAAGGAACGGACUCCCUGGAAUUGGUUCAGCCAGAGAUGGGGACGUUGUUUCCGAAAAGCACCGCGGUUUCUGUGGUGUCUCGUGCUCUUUGAACGGCCCUUAAAACACCAAGGGAGGCUAUUAAUUUGCACUCAAUCGUACCGAUAUCCGCAUUAGGUCUCCAAGGUGAACAGCCUCUAGUCGAUAGAAUAAUGUAGGUAAGGGAAGUCGGCAAACUAGAUCCGUAACUUCGGGAAAAGGAUUGGCUCCAGUGGUUGGAACGGUUGGCCAGUUGGUUGAUGCUUGUCCGGCGCAGUUCUGUCUGCUUGAUACUUUCGGGUUGAUGGCGGACUAGUGAUUGUGCUUGCUUGCGGACGCUUUCUGGUGUGUGCUUGGACCUCGGUUCUAGUAUCCUGAUCGCUCAUCUAAACAACCGUACUGGAACCGGUACGGACUCAGGGAAUCCGACUGUCUAAUUAAAACAGAGGUGACAGAUGGUCCUUGCGGACGUUGACUGUCACUGAUUUCUGCCCAGUGCUCUGAAUGUUAAAUCGUAGUAAUUCGAGUAAGCGCGGGUAAACGGCGGGAGUAACUAUGACUCUCUUAAGGUAGCCAAAUGCCUCGUCAUUUAAUUGUUGACGCGCAUGAAUGGAUUAACGAGAUUCCUACUGUCCCUAACUACUUUCUAGCGAAACCACAGCCAAGGGAACGGGCUUGGCAAAAAUAGCGGGGA